UAAUUUUUUUUCUCAGUCCUUGACUUCUCAGUAUUCUCACUCUCAAUUCUUCCUUCUCUUUCCAGUUCUCACGCCCCUCUUCAACUUCAACCCAAAACUUUGUUGCCCAUGGUGUCGUCAAGCCCACGCCCUGUUGCUCAUAGCUAGCGAGUUUCUCUAUCUCAGACUCACAGUAGCCCAAAACCGAUGGCGUCCUCCUCACACAUAUAUUGUCAUUUGUAUUGCUUUGAUUUAUUUGUUUGUGAUUAGGUGCCAAAUAUACUUAUGAUUGUACCCCUCAAACAUUAGAACAGAAGAGCAAGAAGACAAGUGGAGGCAGAUUCUUGCAGCAGCAAGUGGAGCUUUUCAGUACUCUUUGUUUGAUAUAUUGUAUAUAGAUCAUCAUAUUUGAGAUUGUAACAUUAAUAUUAUAUUAAUAUGUGUUUAUCAUAUUUGGUGCUGUUAGGAUUUUAAUUUC